UACGAAGGGGGCUAGCGUUGUUCGGAUUUACUGGGCGUAAAGCGCACGUAGGCGGAUCGUUAAGUCGGGGUGAAAUCCUGGAGCUCAACUCCAGAACUGCCUUCGAUACUGGCGAUCUUGAGUCCGGAAGAGGUGAGUGGAACUCCUAGUGUAGAGGUGGAAUUCGUAGAUAUUAGGAAGAACACCAGUGGCGAAGGCGGCUCACUGGUCCGGUAUUGACGCUGAGGUGCGAAAGCGUGGGAGCAAACAGG
rnacentral:rRNA from 1 species